AGGCCAGUGGACAGUUGGUUUUCAGGGAAGAAAUACAAAUGGCCAAUGAAUAUUUGAGGAGGCGGUCCACAUCCUUAGCCUUCUGGGAAAUGCCAAUGGCAGCUUCUCUGAGGUCCCAUCCCACCCAGACUUGCUGCCAUUGAGACGGGAAAUGACAACAAAUGCUGGUGAGGAUAUGGGAAAGGGGAUCUUUAUUCACUGGUGACAGGAAUGCCAGUGGCCGCAGCUGGUAUGAAAGUUGGUGUGGGCAUCCUCAAAAAUGAAAGUGGAACUAUUGUAUGAUUCAGCGACACCACCCCUGAGUAUGUGUCUUUAGGAUGCUUGGUCACUGUAGGAGAGGCCUUGCACAUGCGUGUUUAUUACUGAACCAUUCAUCAUAGCCAAGAUAUGAAAUCCCUUGAGGCCUAUCAGCAGAUGAAGGGAUAAAGAAACUGCUCAUGCGUACAAUGGGGUUUUAUGCAGUCACAGAGAAGCAUGAAAUCACGGCAUUUGUAGGAAGAUGGAUGCAACUAGGACUCAUUAUGUUAAAUGAAGCCCUCUGACUGUUCAUUCAAAAUGGCAAGCUGGCUGACACAUUUUUUUGGCAAGGUGCCCUUCAUGGAUAAUUGUGGCUAUACUUCCAUGGCAGAUGAAACUGCUACUUCAUGUGAAAUUGUCUAGAUGACCACUUUAUCUGGAGCAGAUCUUGAAACAGCCAGGAUUUUCCUCCUAAAGUUCUGUUCCCUGGAAGGGAAGCCUUUGUUGGAGUCAAUACUUCCUGAUCUGAUGGGCGAUGGAGCAAGGCACUUUGCCUGGUUCUAACAGAGCACAGUCGAACACUCAGGUUCAUGAAAGUCAAGAGCAAUGACCAGUGGAAUCCUACCUGGGGCCCUGACGUUUCUGACAUUGAUGUAAAGUACUACAACAAGGCCAAUGGCAAGCUGACUGUGUCUGCAGAUUACACUGAUUUUUACAUAACAUAUCAAGACCUGAGGCUGGAGAAGAGACACAUGGAGAUCACCUGCCUUUCAACAAUGCCCUUAGCUCCUGUAUUUUUGGUCACGGCUUGGAGGCGUCUAAGUAAUGAAGAAGCCCUGGCAGUGGAAAGGGAUGUGCACUCCCAUCACCUAAGCAAAUACACUGAGCACCCAAUAGCUGUGCCGGUGGCUGAUUCCAUCCUGUUCUGUUUUCCGAGGACCUCAAACCUACAAAAUACACUUGGCUCAGUUAGGGAAGUCACAGCACAAAGGAACGAAUGCCUCCAAUUUUUAUAGAGUAGACACCUCCAACCGGAACAGAAUAUGGGCCAUGUGUGUGAUUAACCACACUCUGAGGGAUGGAACACCCUUCUCCAGAAGCUCCCGCUUGCUUUCUGAAGCUGUGGGACUGGAGAAGAAGGGAAGGUGGUUUUACAGUGACGAACUUGUCAGUGGGCUUCCAGCCACUCUCCACCAGGACCCCGUGUUCAGCGAUGUGGCCUCCAUCGUGGCUGUCAUCUCCACCCUGUCCUGAGCAGUGACUGUCUUAGCCAAGGAGCAAAAUGUGUCUGCAGCGCCCCAGUUUUAUCAAUCAGUGGCCCUCUAAACUUGGU
rnacentral:lncRNA from 1 species